UGGGGAAUUUUGGACAAUGGGCGCAAGCCUGAUCCAGCCAUGCCGCGUGCAGGAUGAAGGCCUUCGGGUUGUAACUGCUUUUGUACGGAACGAAAAGGUGCCUUCUAAUAAAGGGCGCUCAUGACGGUACCGUAAGAAUAAGCACCGGCUAACUACGUGCCAGCAGCCGCGGUAAUACGUAGGGUGCGAGCGUUAAUCGGAAUUACUGGGCGUAAAGCGUGCGCAGGCGGUUUUGUAAGACAGAGGUGAAAUCCCCGGGCUCAACCUGGGAACUGCCUUUGUGACUGCAAGGCUGUAGUGCGGCAGAGGGGGAUGGAAUUCCGCGUGUAGCAGUGAAAUGCGUAGGUAUGCGGAGGAACACCGAUGGCGAAGGCAAUCCCCUGGGCCUGCACUGACGCUCAUGCACGAAAGCGUGGGGAGCAAACA
rnacentral:rRNA from 1 species